rnacentral:lncRNA from 1 species
GAUUGAUCCGAUUUGCGCGCGAUUUGGUGAGUAAUCUCACUAAUUCCGGAUUAGUUGGCUAAUUAUGCUUAAGGUUGGUUUAGAUUUAAUUAAUUAUGUUUAGGUUGUUAGAUUAGGAUAAAUUAGCAAUUAUUAGUCAAUUGUGAUGCGAUUUAGAUAAAUUGAUUGUGCAAUUAGCAAGUAGAUGUGGUCUACUAAUUAUUGGAAGUGCCUCGGGAUUUUUCCCGACCCUUAGUGGGCUCCAAUUAGGAAUUAAAUUAAAUAAUUAUUUAUUUUCCGAAAAUUCAACAGAGAUGGCCCGGAACCGGAAUAUUAUGCUGAUGACCGCGGUGAAGUCCGUUUAUUUAAUCGGACUUUAUUUUGAGCUAAAUUGAAUUUUUAAUAUUAAUUAUUUAAUUAAUUACUUUUUCAGAAAUUAAGAUUUUGAUGGCUGACGAUCGAAAUCUCGUGCUGAUCGUUGUGGCGCAGUCCGUUUAUUUAUUUGAGCUCCACGUUGUAUGGAAUUGAAUAAAUUGUGAUAUUUUAGGGAUUCCCUAAAUUGAUUGGAAUUGAUUGAAAUUGAAUUGUGGAUUGGUAAAUGGCCAAGUAUGUUAUUCAGCAUUUAUAAUGCUUUGUUGAGUUGAUUUAAUAAUUUGAUUGAUAAAUCGUUGGGCAGUGGUUGUCGGUAUUGAAAGUAGAUUGGUAAUCACUUGAAAGAAAACACGUGGGCUCGGUGAAUUGGAAUAUCACCUGGAGAACGCACGUGAAUUUAGUGGUUGAAUAUGUCACCUUGGCGAAAAGGUCGCCUGAGAGAAUGCACGUGGCUCAGAGACUCGAUAUGUCGUCCUGGAGAAUGCAUGUGGCUCAGUGACAGAUUUUGGCAUCUAAAAGGGCACGUGGCUCGGUGAAUUGAUGCAUCACUUUGGUAAGCGAGUACCUUAGAGAAUGCACGUGGGCCCAGGCAUCUAAAAGGACACGUGGCUCGGUGAUCUGAUGCGUCACUUUAGUAAGCGAGUACCUUAGAGAAUGCACGUGGGUCAAUAUUCGGAAAUAGCAUCAAAAAGGGCACGUGGCUCGGUGACUUGAUGUACCACCUUGGCGAAGAGGUCGCCUUAAAGAAUGCACGUGAGCCCAAGGUUCGAGGCACGUGGCUCGGAGAUUUGGAAUGUCGUCCUAGAGAAUGCAUGUGGCCUCGCUUUUAGAUACUCCUCCGUGGAGAAUGAAUUGUAUGACAUGUAAUCGACUGGUUUGAUUUGUUUUGAGUAAAUGGGUGCCUAUGUUAAAUUGUACUGACUUGCAGGUGGGAUCUGAGGCCAAGGUAAGUCAUCUGCCCUGUGCGUGUUUAGGCAGCCUGUAGUAUAAUAGUUUACUAAUCUGGCCUUAGUGGGGUAGAACUCGUUGAGAUGUAGUCUCAUCCAAGUUUGGGGAAAUCAUUUCAGGACCCCGCUGAGGAGAUGAAGAGGAGGAGUUUGAGAAUGAUUUUUGGGAGAAGAAGAUAAUCCCGAGAGGGGCCUUGAGUACGGCCCGGGUGAACUGAAGUUCUAUCUUCUUUUGCGAUCUUCAUUUUGAUGUGAAUAGAGUUUAAAGUAAAAAGUUGUGAAGUGCUCUGGUUUGUG